rnacentral:rRNA from 1 species
GGCUCAGGAUGAACGCUGGCGGCGUGCUUAACACAUGCAAGUCGAACGAUGAAAGCCGGAGCUUGCUCUGGCUGGAUUAGUGGCGAACGGGUGAGUAACACGUGAGUAACCUGCCCCAGACUCUGGGAUAAGCACUGGAAACGGUGUCUAAUACCGGAUACGAACUUCAGCCGCAUGGCUAGGAGUUGGAAAGAAUUUCGGUCUGGGAUGGACUCGCGGCCUAUCAGGUAGUUGGUGAGGUAACGGCUCACCAAGCCGACGACGGGUAGCCGGCCUGAGAGGGUGACCGGCCACACUGGGACUGAGACACGGCCCAGACUCCUACGGGAGGCAGCAGUGGGGAAUAUUGCACAAUGGGCGCAAGCCUGAUGCAGCAACGCCGCGUGAGGGACGACGGCCUUCGGGUUGUAAACCUCUUUUAGUAGGGAAGAAGCGAAAGUGACGGUACCUGCAGAAAAAGCACCGGCUAACUACGUGCCAGCAGCCGCGGUAAUACGUAGGGUGCAAGCGUUAUCCGGAAUUAUUGGGCGUAAAGAGCUCGUAGGCGGUUUGUCGCGUCUGCUGUGAAAACUGGAGGCUCAACCUCCAGCCUGCAGUGGGUACGGGCAGACUAGAGUGCGGUAGGGGAGAUUGGAAUUCCUGGUGUAGCGGUGGAAUGCGCAGAUAUCAGGAGGAACACCGAUGGCGAAGGCAGAUCUCUGGGCCGUAACUGACGCUGAGGAGCGAAAGCAUGGGGAGCGAACAGGAUUAGAUACCCUGGUAGUCCAUGCCGUAAACGUUGGGAACUAGAUGUAGGGU